GCAUCCAUGGUUGAAUGGUGAAAGCGCCCAACUUAUACAAGGGGAAAAUUUGUAGGUUGGAUUCCUGCUGGAUGCA
rnacentral:tRNA from 1 species